UUGAACGCUGGCGGCAGGCCUAACACAUGCAAGUCGCGCGGAUGAAGGGAGCUUGCUCCUGGAUUCAGCGGCGGACGGGUGAGUAAUGCCUAGGAAUCUGCCUGGUAGUGGGGGAUAACGUCCGGAAACGGGCGCUAAUACCGCAUACGUCCUGAGGGAGAAAGUGGGGGAUCUUCGGACCUCACGCUAUCAGAUGAGCCUAGGUCGGAUUAGCUAGUAGGUGGGGUAAAGGCCUACCAAGGCGACGAUCCGUAACUGGUCUGAGAGGAUGAUCAGUCACAAUGGAACUGAGACACGGUCCAGACUCCUACGGGAGGCAGCAGUGGGGAAUAUUGGACAAUGGGCGAAAGCCUGAUCCAGCCAUGCCGCGUGUGUGAAGAAGGUCUUCGGAUUGUAAAGCACUUUAAGUUGGGAGGAAGGGCAGUAAGUUAAUACCUUGCUGUUUUGACGUUACCAACAGAAUAAGCACCGGCUAACUUCGUG
rnacentral:rRNA from 1 species